UACGUAGGAGGCGAGCGUUGUCCGGAGUUACUGGGCGUAAAGGGUGCGCAGGCGGCUGGUUACGUUUGCGGUGAAAUCUGCCCGCUUACCGGGGAGGGUGCCGUGAAAACGGGCUGGCUUGAGGCUCGGGGAGGGGCGUGGAAUUCCGGGUGGAGCGGUGAAAUGCGUAGAGAUCCGGAGGAACACCGACGGCGCAAGCAGCGCCCUAAACGAGACCUGACGCUCAGGCACGAAAGCUGGGGGAGCAAACAGGAUUAGAUACCCUGGUAGUCCCAGCCCUAAACGAUGUCCACCAGGUGCCGCGGGUAUCGACCCCUGCGGUGCCGCAGCUUACGUGAUGAGUGGACCGCCUGGGGAGUACGGCCGCAAGGUUGAA
rnacentral:rRNA from 1 species